rnacentral:lncRNA from 1 species
UUAGUUCAUGUGGUGAGAGUAGUAGGGGGUCCUAGUCUUGGUUGUCUCCAUUUUAUAUGGGCCAAGGUGAGUGAUAACGGACUAACCUUGUGGUGGUAGGGUGGAACCCAUAGCAAUUGGCUUUGCAAAGCAGUAGAGGCCACCACAAGUGCAUAACCCGCCAUAGCUCGAUGUUCAUUCCGGGUCCGGACGAGUCUAAGUCUAACACCACUUAAUAAAACCACAACUCAUAACUUAAUUAAAUUGUUCUUCCAUGCUUGUAAUUCUUGAAUGCCUCUUUUAGUUUGAUAAUCUCUUAGUUAACUUGUUUCCUUUUGAAAUCUAGCUUACCCUUGCU